GGGGGGAGGCUGAGCUGGAGCCCUGUUACCUCUUCAGAAGCCAGACACCAAAGAGAACAAGAAAUUCCUGGAUUUACAUCUUAAGGCACAAUGGAAAGAAGGUACUAGAAGCCAAGGAGUAUCAACCUAGCAGCAGAUGGAAUUUACAUUUACAAGUAGGUGUUACAGAACUUUUAUAUCUGGUCCUAAAGACAUUCCAGGUUCAAUGAAGGAAAUUAUGGAGAAGGGAUUCCAGCAAAGGAAAUAUUUUCACCAGCACGGAAGUCAAGCAUUGUCGCUUCUUGCAAAAAAAACCUAGUUUUUAGAUGAGGAAAUUCAUAGGAAAGGUUUAAAAGAGGUGCAGGGAACACUUUUGUGCUCGGUAUUUGAACAGUCUCUAUGGAAGAAAUGCGGCACAAAACAUCCAGCUAUUUCCACAGGAAGAAUAAUGAAGACCCAAGAGAUGGUUAGGAGACAGAGGUCUUUGGAGGAGAGGAGAAACGGAUUUGCUCAGUCUUAAGAGAGGAAGGGUAAGGGUGCUAAGGGGAGAUCUUAUUGCUGUCUGCAAAAUAAUGCAAGGCUGUAGGUAACAUAGAUCACACUUGUCUUUGCAUCGCACUGUGAUCUGACAAGAGGCAAUAAAAACAAAGCUUGGAAAACAAAAAAUUCCAGUUAGAGUUCAGGGAAUAAUCUCCCCAAGCCAUUUGUUUAAAAAAACCAACCAAAUAAACAAAAAAACCCCACUGAUGCCCUUACUUUAUAAAGGGUACACAGGAAUUUUAACAUGAUUUUCUCUUUAAAUGUUGAAAUGUCAUACUUAUCAUUAAAAAAACAACAAAAUAUCAAAAUACUUGUAAAGGGACAGAAUGAGUCUGGAAAUACACAGAAUUUCAACCAAGAGCCUGAGA